UUCGUCUUCCAUGUCGUGUACCGAAGCCUUGAACCACAGUCCUGAUCCUUGCCUUAAGGUAGUCUGGAGGAGCAGAAAACGCUGAACUUCAAGUGGAACACAUCCAGCCUCUGGGUGUCCAUGCAGGAUGUACCAUACUCACUCAGGAACAUCAAGCCUCUCACCACCUGCCAGCACAAGGAAGCGUGGCACAAGAGAGUAUUUCAACAGGCUCUAUCCAACCAUCUUCCAGAUCAGCCUUCAGAGAUCCUCCUAAUGGCCUAACAACUGAACUACAUGGCAAUGCUGAGUAUGAUCCAUCUCAAACAUUUGAGGAAGCUCUCCCUGAUGUGGGGGAUUGGACAUAUGAUGAUGGACAUAUGUUCAGUGAGGGAUUUGAAGAGGGUUUCAGUGAGGAGUGUGCAGCAGAGUCAAAUUUCAAGGACACAACAGACAAACCGUAAUAUGACAAUGCAUCAAUAACUGUGGCAGAGGGCAAUCAUUUUGUUCCCUUAUUGGAAACCUCUGCCAAUACAGUAGUUUCCUUGGAUUAUAUAUUGGGUAAAGCUGUUUUCCAUGACUUGACAUCUGUGCCUGGCAUUGUGAUUGCAGCUCAUUUCCCAAACACACUUGGAAAGUCCUAACCCAUUAAGACUGAACUGGUCCAAGAAGCCACAAAUCGAAUGAUCGUUCAUUGAAAUAACAUGCUCUGAAAAUGCACAUGACCCACACAUCUGACCACUUGCCAUGAAUGCUUUGUAGAAUUACAGGUCCAUCAAAACAAGAACCAACAGACUCAGAAACAGCUUCUUCCCACAAGCCAUCACUGAACACAAAUGAACACUGACACACACGAACACACACACACCCACACUCACACACACUGAGCAAUAACUGUAAAUACAAUCAUUGCAUUGUAUACAAAAAACACUGUACAUAUUUAUCUAUUUAUCUGUUUUUUAAUAUCCUACAUUGCACUAAAUGCCUUGUACUUUUUUUUUACCUGUACUUUUUACUAUAUUUAUGUUGUGUGGACACUCGGUUUCUGCUAAAAAAGUUUUUGACAAUAAAAAGGAUUCUGAUUUCUCCUG